rnacentral:misc_RNA from 1 species
AAGUCGUAACAAGGUUUCCGUAGGUGAACCUGCGGAAGGAUCAUUAACACGUAUCCAAACGUUAAAACCCCCCCGUGAACAUUCAUCCUGCUCUUGUAACCCGCGAAGCUUGCAAUCUCUGGUAAAUCAUAGCCCGGAAAGUAGUUUUGAUUCAGAGUCCUCUGGCCCGUGAGAAUCCGCAUCUCGCGGGCAGGAGCUAGGCCAAAGGGUCCCCAUGCCCCCUUACAACCCCAGUUUAAUGUGAAGCUCAAUGUAAUACAUUGGGUAAAAAAACCGAACAACUGGCAACAAUGGAUAUCUUGGUUCUC